CCCUUCCCCCCAGCUCCAUGAGGUUUGCAGUCCUUGGGUGUUUCUUCAGUGCGCUGUCUCUUCAGAGAUUCACCCGGAGGAUGGUGAGAGGCAACAUGCAGCUGCACUCAGAAAGGAUAUAGGAGAGAAAACGAAACAAUGUGCUGAUGCUGGUCUGUACCCAGUGGGCUUAUGGAAAAGCCUGCAGGAAAAAGUCACUGCCUCCAACCCUACCUGUGUCAGGUCUUCAAAACAUCACUGGGCACCCAUCAUGUCCCCUGCAUUUCCACGGUGUCACGUCAGCUUGUCUCUUUUGGCAAUAAAGCCUUGUGCGCUGAGGGCACACACAGCUCACAAUGGAAGGGGAAAUAGCAAAUCUCUAACAAAACAUUGUGCUCCAACUGUUGUUUAUCCAGAGGAGAGAUGCGCAGCACGAAGACUGGUAGUUGUAUCACGCGUUAAGGCACGCUGUGUUCCCUCCUUCCUGCAGCAUCUCAUCCACUACAGGGCCACAGAGCACACCAGCGUGGGGAACACCAAGACCCCACUGGAUGAACCACCCCACGGCAGCCAAGAGAUGCUUUCCUCCCUUUUCUCAACUGUCCCAGGCCACGCAAUGUGCCAUUUUGCUUGUGCUCCGUCAAUAUAAUUGCCAGGAUUGUUGUUUCUGGUAGAGGAUCUCCAAGUGCUUUUUCUGAAUAGCCCGUGGAGACUCAUGCUUGUGUUACAUUCACCCAGCACAGUCAGAACUAAAAAUCCCUUUUCCCCAUCUCAGCUUUCAGCACGUUCCUCUGCACAGGAAGACUUCAAACCUCCAUCCACCGCACUGUCUCUUCAUGUAGUGAGAAAAUUGGUCUUAAUGCCUAAAAAUAAAGAGGACCUUUAUAUUAUCAGGCAUUUGGGCCUGAAAU
rnacentral:lncRNA from 7 species